UGGCACUGAACAUGAAAAAUUAGCCUAUUCCUAACACUGCGAACAAUUUACAUACAGACAUAACGAAAUUGAUGUUGAAAACCCCAAUUGCAAUGUGACAGCAAUAUUGGCAUAAAUUAAUGAAUGGUAAUUUGGGCAACAACAUGAAUGCAUCUGCUCAUGCAAUAGUCGAAAUUAGUAUGUAAAUGCAAUAUCAUGUGGAAUGCUGCUUAAACACAUGCAGCCGGAGCCGCAAUAAAAGUUCUGUCCUCGAUAGUUUUCUCAAGUGUUUGCCCUCAUGCAAAGCCCUCUUCAAACAUCAACAAAGCAAAAGCGAAAGAAGAAUCAACUAAGCAACCAACCUGACAAGUAUUUGUGCAUACAAAAAAGUGAAAAACUUUUGACCGCAAAACAACAAUGACAGGGGCGAUGGCGAGGGUGAGAAUGUCAGUAAUAAUGCGCAUCGCUUCAAGUGUCCACACAAUUUGUGCUGAAAAGUCCUUUUUACCCACAAAGUUGCUUUGAACGCUUGUGUGUGCAUAUGUAUGUGUGUAUGUGUUAUUAUUAUUAUCUAAAGACAAGUUGCAAAGUAAACAAGUGGAAAAUGCAUAUAAGAGCAUUCAACAUAUAAAUACAUAUAUACAUACAAACAAACAUAUGAACGUCUUCAUAAAAAUAUAUUCACUUCCGUAGAUACUUAGGAAGAACCUUUGCUACACCAGCUGGUUAAAGACAUUUGCUACAUACAUACGCAUUUAUUUUUGUAAAAAAGAAAUAUCCCAUUUUCUACUCUUAACUAUAUAUAAUAUGUAUGUACGAGUAUAUAUGUAUCUGCAAUACAAAAUUCAGUGUUUUCAUGUCAAGUGGGAGAGUGCAAAGAACAAAUAUAAAUAUUUAUGUAAUUAGAUUCUGGAAUAUUGAAGAUACUUGCGUGUUUGUAUGUUAUGUGGAUAUGUUUUGUAAAAUUUUAAAUUGUACAAAUAUUCAGUUAAAUGCAUGGCAAUUUAUUAAAGAGUUCAUAAGGAAAAGCUUUAUAA